rnacentral:tRNA from 1 species
CCGGGAGUAGCUUAAAUUUAAAGUUCAGGAUUCUUACUUCUGCGAUAUCUUAUUAUAGAUUUCCCGGG